AUGUUGGCACCAACAAUGGAUAGGCUCAAAUAAGGUGGCGCCAAAGAGUCCAAGUUUAUCAGGACUCUUUGGUUCUUAUCCAUUUGGGGCGCGCACUUAAAUCCAAUUGGGCUCAUGCCAUAAUCUGAUUAUGGCACCCAAUUUGAUUAGGUUUAGGCAUGUGGACACUCCACAAAAAAUCCUCCAAUAAGUCCUCUUCAGUUUAAGACCCAUAUGUCAACUUUUGACAGAUGUCCUAA
rnacentral:lncRNA from 1 species